rnacentral:tRNA from 1 species
AGGGAUGUAGCUCAGUGGCACAGUGCCUGCCUGGCAAGCACAAGGUCCUGAGUUCGAUCCUCAGUACUGCAA